rnacentral:tRNA from 1 species
GGAGGGAUGGCCGAGUGGUUUAAGGCGACUGUCUUGAAAACAGUUGUGGGUUUACGCUCACCGGGGGUUCGAAUCCCUCUCCCUCCG